rnacentral:rRNA from 1 species
CCUACGGGGGGCAGCAGUUAGGAAUCUUCCACAAUGGGCGAAAGCCUGAUGGAGCGACGCCGCGUGAGGGAUGACGGUCUUCGGAUUGUAAACCUCUGAACUAGGGACGAAAGACGGUUUGCCGGGAUGACGGUACCUAGGUAAUAGCACCGGCUAACUCCGUGCCAGCAGCCGCGGUAAUACGGAGGGUGCGAGCGUUAUCCGGAAUCACUGGGCGUAAAGGGCGUGUAGGCGGGACGUUAAGUCUGGUUUUAAAGACCGCAGCUCAACUGCGGGAGUGGACUGGAUACUGGCGUUCUAGACCUCUGGAGAGGUAACUGGAAUUUCUGGUGUAGCGGUGGAAUGCGUAGAUACCAGAAGGAACACCAAUGGCGAAGGCAGGUUACUGGACAGAAGGUGACGCUGAGGCGCGAAAGUGUGGGGAGCAAACCGGAUUAGAU